GAAGGUCGUCUGCAGUGAGAGUGACGCAUUGGUGGUCGUUUGGGACAUGAGGAAGAUGAAGAUGAUGAAGGAUUGGAUGUUCGUUGUCAUUCAUGGAUGAAAAGGGAGCUGGCGAAGGGGUCGUUUGGAGCUGAAUAAAGACGUGAGGUUGUUUGGUGUCCGUCGAGUUCUGGACAUGGUGGUGGGGUGGAGACGGGACCGUUUGGUUUGUUCAGUUUCUAAUGUAGGGGUUGGAUGGUUCGUGGAAGAUGAAGGUUGUCGUGAGGCGUAGAAUAUGGGAAGGGCAGCCAUGGCGGGGUCUGGAGAUUGGUGGUUUAGGGUUUGGGGGUGUGUGGAGAAGAUGAAGAGAAUGGGGGUGGGGUGUAAGGUGUGACGGC
rnacentral:lncRNA from 1 species